ACAUGCAGUCCGAGCGGGGAAAAGUAGCUUGCUACCUGACCUAGCGGCGGACGGGUGAGUAAUGCUUAGGAAUCUGCCUAUUAGUGGGGGACAACAUCUCGAAAGGGAUGCUAAUACCGCAUACGUCCUACGGGAGAAAGCAGGGGACCUUCGGGCCUUGCGCUAAUAGAUGAGCCUAAGUCGGAUUAGCUAGUUGGUGGGGUAAAGGCCUACCAAGGCGACGAUCUGUAGCGGGUCUGAGAGGAUGAUCCGCCACACUGGGACUGAGACACGGCCCAGACUCCUACGGGAGGCAGCAGUGGGGAAUAUUGGACAAUGGGGGGAACCCUGAUCCAGCCAUGCCGCGUGUGUGAAGAAGGCCUUUUGGUUGUAAAGCACUUUAAGCGAGGAGGAGGCUACCGAGAUUAAUACUCUUGGAUAGUGGACGUUACUCGCAGAAUAAGCACCGGCUAACUCUGUGCCAGCAGCCGCGGUAAUACAGAGGGUGCAAGCGUUAAUCGGAUUUACUGGGCGUAAAGCGCGCGUAGGUGGCCAAUUAAGUCAAAUGUGAAAUCCCCGAGCUUAACUUGGGAAUUGCAUUCGAUACUGGUUGGCUAGAGUAUGGGAGAGGAUGGUACAAUU
rnacentral:rRNA from 1 species